rnacentral:rRNA from 1 species
AUUGAACGCUGGCGGCAGGCCUAACACAUGCAAGUCGAGCGGAUGAAGGGAGCUUGCUCCUGGAUUCAGCGGCGGACGGGUGAGUAAUGCCUAGGAAUCUGCCUGGUAGUGGGGGAUAACGUCCGGAAACGGGCGCUAAUACCGCAUACGACCUGAGGGAGAAAGUGGGGGAUCUUCGGACCUCACGCUAUCAGAUGAGCCUAGGUCGGAUUAGCUAGUUGGUGGGGUAAAGGCCUACCAAGGCGACGAUCCGUAACUGGUCUGAGAGGAUGAUCAGUCACACUGGAACUGAGACACGGUCCAGACUCCUACGGGAGGCAGCAGUGGGGAAUAUUGGACAAUGGGCGAAAGCCUGAUCCAGCCAUGCCGCGUGUGAAGAAGGUCUUCGGAUUGUAAAGCACUUUAAGUUGGGAGGAAGGGCAGUAAGUUAAUACCUUGCUGUUUUGACGUUACCAACAGAAUAAGCACCGGCUAACUUCGUG